GUUGGAGAACGUAUAAAAUUGACCUGGAACUAGAAUGUUGCAUCACUUGUGGUAAAGCUGAUUAUAUAUCAAAUAUCUGAUGAAUGACUGGGAUUCUAUACAGAACUCAAGACAUGAAACUAGUUACGAGUUUAUUGGUGCUGUUGGCUGUUCAACUGAUCGAAUUGAUAGAUGGAAAAUCAUGUGCUAGAUUCUCUAAUGGAUGCAAUGCCCUUGGUUACGAAACUUACAGACUACUUUUCAAACCGGCGUGUGAUAAACAUGACGUUUGCUAUUCAUGUGGUUCCGGACGAAACGUUACAAGAUACGAUUGUGAUUACGACUUCUACUAUAACAUGGAAGAGCAGUGUUCCACCUUAUAUUUUUACCGUCGGCGCUGGUGUAACCUUGUGAAAUGGAACUUUUAUUUAAUAUUGCGUUCGAUUGGGUCAUCUUAUUACGUAAAUCAAUCGCCAUCAUAUUGCAGUCUGGAUUGGAUUGAUGAAUGCUUGCCGAAUGCAUGAAUUACGUGUAAAUGAUGUAUAAAAUAUAUUUAUAUGUUAUAUCGAUUACUUUCAUAUAUUUUACAACUGUUAUGAAAUGUUUGUAUUUACAUGUUUUUUAUCAGGCCUGGUGGAGUGGGGGUGGGAGCACCCAGGUAACUAUUCUAUUAAACCCGUAGACUUUCAGAAAAAGAAAACCCUGCUAUUCGCUAUACUGAUAUAUGGGUUAAGAUACCCACGGGGACGAGGGUCACGAUUAGGUUACUGAACAGUCGAUAUUUAUUUCAAUCUUUAUGUAAUUAGGUAAUUUAAAAAAAAACACACUCUUUCAUUGUGUCCCUUAUCCAUCACAUAAUUCACUGCUAUCAGUUAUGACUAGUUGACACAAAGCGUUGCCAUGCAAGAUACGCCCACAUUUUGCAAGAAAUGGAUGGGGGAGAGGUAAAAUCAAUAGGGCUCAUCCCCCCAAUCAAGAUCUUUUGAUAUUAAACAUAUUUGUUAAGUUUCCUCAGAAUGGGACAAUUGUAGCUCCACUGGAGGGCCUACACAAUUCAUAUAUAUUGCACAUUUUGCGUAAAAAGCAAGGGCUAUAGAUCUGGAAUGUAAGGUCUUAUGCGUACCAAAGUCGAACUCAUCCAAGAAUUUUUGAUCCUGUUAAAACAUGAAUUAGACAAAAACUGUCGCCUCAUAUUUUACAUUUUGCGAAAAAGGCAGGGGACCAAUGUGCUCCAAAAUUUAACUCAUUCAAGAGCUAGUGAUACUAGUUUUAAGUUCCAUCUAAAUCGGAUAAAAAUUUUGACCUCUAGAUGGUCUACAACCUUUGUAUUACAUGCUUUUUUUUACUACUUGCGUAAAUGGGAGCGACCAUUUGACUGAAAGUUUCGGUCGGAUUUUCACAAAAUUCGGACUCAACCAUAAUUGUUCUGUAACGGUGAUAUAUUUGAACGGUUUUGAAAAUAAGAUAAAAAUAGUGACGUCUAGAGCGUCGGUCCACAAGCUAAAAACCCAGACCUUUGGGCUAGGUCAAAUUGGAUGAAAAUUCGAACCUCUGGGUGUUCCACGACCUGGGUAUUACAUGCUUUUAAGCACAGCUGCCAUUUUGUCGGGCAAUUUUCACAAAAUUUGCACUUAACCGUAAUUAUGUUGUAACGUUGAUAUAUUUGAACGUUUUUUACAAGGGUCAACAAGCUAAACAUGUAUAUGUAAAGAUAGUGACGGUCCUAUUUGCACCAAUUUCAAAAGAAACCGAGAUCUUUCGGUUCUAAACAUAAUUUUAUCAAAAUCGUAUAAAAAUUAUGAUCUCUAGAUCUAUGUCCACAGUCUUGAUAUCAUUAUGCAUAUUUGUCCAGUUCAGUAUCGCAGGAAACCACCAUCGACCGUGUUUGCAUGGUAAGGGACUUAGAAAGUCAAUAAAGUUUCACUUCAUUGCUGAGUAGUAAUUUUGUUAGCUGGAAAUCGCUAAGAAAGCGCCUCUGUCGAUUAAGACCACAAGGAGCUUGCUUCCACCGGACCUGAUUUAUUACAAACACAUUAAUAGAAAAUUUAUAUAUAUAUAUAUAUUUAUUAUGUUUUAUCAGUUGGUUAUUCAAUUAAAGAUACAUUCCCACGAAA